rnacentral:rRNA from 1 species
CCUACGGGAGGCAGCAGUGGGGAAUAUUGGACAAUGGGCGAAAGCCUGAUCCAGCCAUGCCGCGUGUGUGAAGAAGGCCUUCGGGUUGUAAAGCACUUUCAGUGGGGAAGAAAGCCUUGGGGCUAAUACCCUCGAGGAAGGACAUCACCCACAGAAGAAGCACCGGCUAACUCCGUGCCAGCAGCCGCGGUAAUACGGAGGGUGCGAGCGUUAAUCGGAAUUACUGGGCGUAAAGCGCGCGUAGGCGGUCUGAUAAGCCGGUUGUGAAAGCCCCGGGCUCAACCUGGGAACGGCAUCCGGAACUGUCAGGCUAGAGUGCAGGAGAGGAAGGUAGAAUUCCCGGUGUAGCGGUGAAAUGCGUAGAGAUCGGGAGGAAUACCAGUGGCGAAGGCGGCCUUCUGGACUGACACUGACGCUGAGGUGCGAAAGCGUGGGUAGCAAACAGGAUUAGAUACCUGGUAUC